UCGUACUCAUCAAACGGAUUUGACUAUUCUUUACACUGAUCCGCCGCGAACGGAUCGUACGCAUUGUACUAUCGGUAUUACUGGCGCGAAUUCUCGAAGAGGCAAUUAUUAUUAAUUACUCAAUCCAACAAAGACGGGACAACAUUUGGGAAGAAAUUGAAAGUAAAUUGAAUACAUACUGCCAAAUUGCACCCCCUUAAACGAACAUUUCAUGACUAGACAAGACAUUAAGAUCAUAUUCCGAGAAAGCCGGAUGAACGUGCCCAUUAUUCAUUCACAAGAGAAAUUCCGGGAAUCCGGGAAAAAUCGAUGGAAAUAAAAAGAAAAUUUUUCGACUCGUGCUCCGCAUAUACUUACAGUGUAAUCCAUAGGACCGACGAGCAACAAAGGGCAAUGGACUCAACCCAUUUAAAUUUUGAAAUUUUCAGGGGUCGUUUGCAUUCAUAUGGGGAGUCCUUUGCCCCCAUUAUCCAUCGGUAUAGGGCUCAACGUAUAAUGCCCCCCCGAUCCAGAUUAAGUGCCUGGAUUAUUGUCAUAAAGGUGGAUCCCAGGGAGAAAUAUCAUUCUGGAGAGAUCAAAAUUGAACCUGGAUAAGUUAAUGUCAGCGAGGGUCAAUUAAGACUAUAGAUAUACUUCGGCUUAGUCGUAAAAUAUAAAGUCGCGUUUAGAGGCAGUUAACGGGGGUUAGUGCGUUUUUUAUGGAGUGUACGUGUUAAUUGAACGUUAAAAACUUAAUUGGGAUAGUGAUGUGUUAGUAUCCAAGGAAAUAAUUUAUUUUUGUUAAUUUAGAUUUUUAGUUAGUUGUGCAUUAUUUUAAUUCGCAUUGAAUUUUGCU